UCGGGUAAGAAGAAAAAAUCACUGGUCAAAAUGUGCACGAAAAAUAUUAACUUAUACAACAAAAAGUUGGAUACUAUUAGUGAUAUUACAGUAGAAAUGUCACCAUGCUAAUGUCUAUCACUUGACAAAAAACAUGAAGCGACAAAUGCCUAACACACAAUGAAGCGACAAAUGGAGAACGCUUCUUUGACAGGCUUGUCGUAAUCCAUCUGCUAGUCUCCCUAGACUAAAUCAGCCAACCUAUGCUUUUCCAACUAAGUACUUCUGGUUUAUCCUAUAUAAUCAAGUAUCAUAGAAGUAAAUGUCUGUACAUUACUCUUGUCCUCUUGAGGCAUCUUCCUGAGAGAGCAAGCCCAAGCACAAUGGACAAGGGGGAUCGCUUCUAUUUUCAUUACUUGUUCUCUGCUCCAAACAGUCUGCAUGAUACAUAUGACCACAGACUAAAACAGCCACAAUAGAGCAUUCCCCAGAAGAAAGUGCCUCUCCAAGAAAAUAUGGUUUCCGUCUUAACAGCUUCUGACAGAUCCCACAUAUCAUCUUCACUGCAUCAGAUGCAUCUAUUACCAUGGAGCUUAGCCUAGGUCUAAUUCUAUCUGGCCUGCCAAAUGCUUUUUCUUUGUUCCCUGUAUGGUGUCCAAACUCUGAACCAGACAACUUGAAGGCAAGUCUCUCAUCACGUAAAGGGGUAAUUUUCCCAUGAGAAGCCGAUGCAUUAGCAUGGUUCCCUGAAUUCCUCCGAGAGUAUUGAUGCCCAUAGUAGUGACGUGAUCGUUUCAAGAAAAUUGAGUGGCCAACAUUGUAAUGCUGAUGCGCAAGAGAAGAAUGCACAUUCAACAGCUUCAUGGUACUAUCUGUGGCAUCCAUCCCAGGUGAAAGAGGCUUUAAUUCAAUAGAAUCAAGUAAAUGAGAAGAUUUCUCACUUGACAAUAAUUCUGCUCCAGAAGAGCAUGGCAUGUUGCCCGAAGAAGAAGGAUGAUGGGAGGCGUUGUGGUUAGUGGCAGUUCGCUUUCUCUUCCCCAUAAUAAAAAGAAAGGUGAUAUUUUUAUCCAAGGCAAGGAGAGGCUAAUAGCCAAGAAU
rnacentral:misc_RNA from 1 species